CUUUAACUCUAAGCUCUCUUCUUCCUCUCCUUCUUUAUCAUCUGUGUCCAGCUCUGAGUGAACUCAGCUCUCUGUCUUUCUCCCCGUCACAUACAACAGCUGGACCUUUAGUUGCAGCACACUGUGAGCACGAUGCAGCAGCAGACUGAACCAGGACUCAAACCUGCUCCAUCAUCUCAUCUUUGAGAGCACCAACACCUCAAGGGACUGAAUAUAAGAGCUGAGGAUUAUCUGAGUACUUCUAACAUUACACAAAGCAAAGGACUGGGUUCAUGGUGGAGCUCUGAAGAUUUCCCUGUGAGGGAGCUGCUGGUGGAGAUCAUGAGUCCUGCUUGAUCCCUGUGAUGAGCUUCAGUCUUCCUGAUGUUUCUGAAAUGAUGCUUCUCUCAGUGGGACAACAGAACAUCUGGCACAGGACAGCUGUGACGAAAG